CUACGGGGGGCUCCAGUGGGGAAUAUUGGACAAUGGGGGAAACCCUGAUCCAGCAAUGCCGCGUGUGUGAAGAAGGCCUGCGGGUUGUAAAGCACUUUCGGUUGGGAGGACUGCUUCUAGCACUAAUAUUGUUGGAAGUUGACGUUACCUUCAGAAGAAGCACCGGCUAACUCCGUGCCAGCAGCCGCGGUAAUACGGAGGGUGCAGGCGUUAAUCGGAAUUACUGGGCGUAAAGCGCGCGUAGGCGGCUAGAUCAGUCGGGUGUGAAAGCCCCGGGCUUAACCUGGGAACUGCAUCCGAUACUGUCUAGCUUGAGUACAGGAGAGGAGAGUGGAAUUCCACAUGUAGCGGUGAAAUGUGUAGAUAUGUGGAGGAACACCAAUGGCGAAGGCAGCUCUCUGGCCUGAUACUGACGCUGAGGUGCGAAAGCGUGGGGAGCAAACAGGAUUAGAUACCCGUGUAGUC
rnacentral:rRNA from 1 species